rnacentral:rRNA from 1 species
AUUGAACGCUGGCGGCAGGCCUAACACAUGCAAGUCGAACGGUAGCACAGGAGAGCUUGCUCUUCGGGUGACGAGUGGCGGACGGGUGAGUAAUGCAUGGGGAGCUGCCCAAUCGAGGGGGAUACCAGCUGGAAACGGCUGCUAAUACCGCAUACGCCCUGAGGGGGAAAGGUGGGGACCUUCGGGCCUGCCGCGAUUGGAUGCACCCAUGUGGGAUUAGCUAGUUGGUGAGGUAACGGCUCACCAAGGCGACGAUCUCUAGCUGGUCUGAGAGGAUGACCAGCCACACUGGAACUGAGACACGGUCCAGACUCCUACGGGAGGCAGCAGUGGGGAAUAUUGCACAAUGGGGGAAACCCUGAUGCAGCCAUGCCGCGUGUGUGAAGAAGGCCUCGGUUGUAAGCACUUCUAGUAGGGAGGAAGGG